UACGUAGGGUGCGAGCGUUAAUCGGAAUUACUGGGCGUAAAGCGUGCGCAGGCGGUUCUGAAAGUCAGCUGUGAAAGCCCCGGGCUUAACCUGGGAACUGCGGUUGAAACUACAGGACUAGAAUCUGGCAGAGGGGGGUGGAAUUCCACGUGUAGCAGUGAAAUGCGUAGAUAUGUGGAGGAACACCGAUGGCGAAGGCAGCCCCCUGGGUCGACACUGACGCUCAUGCACAAAAGCGUGGGGAGCAAACAGG
rnacentral:rRNA from 1 species